rnacentral:rRNA from 1 species
UACGUAGGGUGCGAGCGUUGUCCGGAAUUAUUGGGCGUAAAGAGCUCGUAGGCGGUCUGUCGCGUCGAUCGUGAAAACUUGGGGCUUAACCCUGAGCUUGCGGUCGAUACGGGCAUGACUGGAGUUCGGCAGGGGAGACUGGAAUUCCUGGUGUAGCGGUGAAAUGCGCAGAUAUCAGGAGGAACACCGAUGGCGAAGGCAGGUCUCUGGGCCACUACUGACGCUGAGAAGCGAAAGCAUGGGGAGCGAACAGG